rnacentral:lncRNA from 1 species
GUAGCUGAUGGAUGGGGAAGCAGCAGCAGCAAGGGGAUGGGGAUACAUAUAGCGGCCCGGAUUAUAGUGAUGGAUGGGGAUACAUAUUACAUAUUACAACUAAUUAUACAUAUUACAGAUUCCUGGUAGCUGAUGGAUGGGGAUACAUAUUACAACUAAUUAUAGUGAUAUUAUUCUACAGGAUUGUGUUUCUUGUAGUUAUACUGAUAUUAAU